rnacentral:tRNA from 1 species
GUUUAAUUUCUAAUAUGGCAGAAUAGUGUAAUGGAUUUAAACCCCAUUUAUAAAGUAUUUAUUACUUUUUUUAGAAA